rnacentral:lncRNA from 10 species
CUCAUUUCGUCAUAAGCACGUUUAAAGCCAAGAAACAGCCUUGUGAACCGCCCAAACAGAACAGUGAGCUGUGAGGUUGGGUGUCGUUUGCAGGCUCCCCAGGACUGGCUGAGGAUGCCUUGAUGUGGCACUGAUUAGAGAUGAUCCCAGAGACCACACAGAUGUGAACAGGACUCCCCUCUUCCGUGGGGAACAGAAGUCCAUGAGAGGCUGGGUCUGAAGGGCAGGGCGAGGGUAAAGGAGACAGGUUUGGCAGCAGCCUGGAGGGCUAUAGGUGGAAGCAGAAAUGCCAAUCAGGAUGAGUGACAGGGAUGAACCAAAGUUGGGUUCAAUAUUCUGGACCUGGGUGACUGGAGGAAUCAAAGCAUUCUAGAGUUAGAAGUGGCCUUAGAAUAUUUAAUCUUGUGCCUAGGACUAGAUAUUGUGCUUCAGUGUCCCUGAGACCUCCUCCACCUCAAACUUGUGGCCUCCUGAAGGAAAGAAAAAGAGACAAACACUAUCUAGGAAGCCCUGGGGUCCACCAGACUCCUCGGCAGCCACUCUCCCGACUGUGGCUCCCAGGAGAACCCAGUCUCAUGGCCUAGCUGAGUAGCAGAGCACUGUGGAAAGGCUGUAUGGUUGCUGCCCUGCCUCUUGCUGCUCUGUGACCCUGGGCUCGUGACUUCACCUUGCUGGGCCUUCUUUCACCAGUAAGCUGAAAAUAAGCUUUGCUGCUAGGAUAUUAAUUGGUGACAUGAGAUAAGGUUUGUAAAACACAGGGCACUUGCCUGACAUCUACUUCCUCCUUGCCAUCUGGAAGCCUCCAGUAUAACACCUGCCUGAAGUCAUAGCUGAAGUACAACAUGUUUCUGACAAUUAAAUGUAACAGACAUAAUUUCUAGGGCACCCACUGCAUUGGACAAUGUGAGACAGAUGGACUAAGUACAAGACAUGGACCUCUACCUCUGAAAAAAGUAGCAUCUUGGUUAAGCAAAAGACACACAAGCACAAGCUUUUUAAAUUAUGAAACUAAUACAGCUACAUGCAGAAGAAUUAUGAAUCAAAAGGACUAUUGGGAUUUAGAAGGAGAGCUUAGCAGAGUUGGAGGGCUUCCUGGAGAAAAUGGGCUCUGUGAUAGACUCUGAAGUGCUGGUAAGGCAUGGAAGGUGGGCAGCUUUUGCUGUGAGUUGUCCAGGAACAAUGGCAAGAGCAAGGUGUGGGCAAGAGCAAGGUGUGGGCAAGAGCAAGGUGUGGGCAGGAGUGGAUUCAGAGCCCCACUGGAAUAGAGUUUUGAAGUCAUGGAUGAAGUGGGCGGAGAGAGGUCUGAAGAGGUUAGGAGGGCCAGGCAGUGGACUGGAGGUGCCACACCACCAGCAAAAGACCAAGGAUUCUGUUCUAAGGGCCAACCAAGUCUGGAGGCACAGAUUUCAGAGUGAGGGAGUCACAUGAUGAAAAAGGAAUGGUGGAAUAGAGGGGGAUGUUGGAUGGGAGGAGAAUCUAGAACAAUCAGGGUGAGUGACAGGGAUGAAAUGAAGUUAGGUCCAAUAUUCUGGGCCUGGGUGACUGGAGGAAUCAAAGCAUUCUAGAGCGUGAAGUGACCUUAGAAGAUGUAAUCUUGUAUAGCCAUUCAGAAUAGGUUAAUGCCUUUCCUGGGUCCACGGCAAGUUCUUCCUCUCUUAGUUCUCUCAAGAGCUGGUUGUUGAAAACAGCCUAGCGCCACCCCUUCCCCUGCCAUUCUCUCCCUUCCUCUCUCACCAUGUGAUUUCUGCACAUGCAGGCUCCCCUUUGUCUUCUGCCAUGAGGGGAAGUAGCCUGAGGCCCUCAUCAGUUGCAGAUGCUGGGUUUCAUGCUUCCUGUACAGCCUGCAGAAUCAUGAGCCAAAUAAACCUCUUUUCUUCAUAAAUUACCCAGGCUUAUGUAUCCCUUUAUAGCAACACAAAUGGACUAAGACAGUACCCUCCCUAUGGGGCAGUGUCCAGAGAGAAAAGGCCAGAAGACCAAAGACUGAACCUUGAGUCCUGGGAACAGGAUCCAGGAGAAGGGGCAGUCAGAGGUGGGAUGCAGCCCAGAUGUGGUCAUGGUGAUCAAGGACGCAGUAGUGAAGGUGGUCAGUGCUGUCCACAGGCAUGGUACUUGGCUGUGAUCUCCCCAGCCCCACUGAAGCCUAUUACAGAUGGCUGCAAAUUCUUUGACACCUCUCCCACUGAGAUGGGGUGGGGGAAUCUUUGCUUCCUCCAUGUAAAUCGGAGUAGGUUCUGUGACUAAUGCCCCCCAUAGAAUAGAAUGGAAGUUUAGCUGGGCAUGGUAGUGCAUGGCUGUAGUCCCAGCUACUCGGGAGGCUGAAGUGGGAGGAUCGCUUUAAGCCCAGGAGUUCUCCAGCUGGGGCAAGAGAGUGAGAACCUGUCUCAAAAAAAAAAAAAAAAAAAAAAAAAGGAAUAGAAUGGAAGUAAUGUCAUGCCAGUGUCCAGUUCCAGCCUCUGAGAGACUGGCUGUUCUGACCUUUAGAAUCUGGGAGCACUCAGUUGUGGAACCCAGCCACCAUGUUGUGAAGAAGCCCUGUGCAGUGGUCCAAGUGACCAGGAGUCAAAGCUCCCAGCCAAUAGCCAGCACUAACUUGUCAGCAGUGUCAUGGAGCCCACUUGAAAGAGGAUUCUAAUUAUGCUGCCCAAGCUGUGGCCACAUGGAGGAGAGAUAUACAGUCCCUGCUGAACCCUGCUCUAAUUACAGGUUUGUGAGCAAAACUACUAAUUGUUAACUAAAUUUUGGGGUGGCUCAUUACACAGCAACAUCUGGUUUUCUCGGUGGAUUCAAUCCAAUGUGCUUGGGUCUCCCCUCCUAGUGCAUGGCAGAUGGUGGGGGCCAUGGGAACUUCCCUCUCUCACUGCUCUCCCUUAACUUUUGUUCUGGUGGCUGGUGACCUCCACGGGGCUUAGAGAUCAACUGUGGUCAGUGAUUAGGGUGGCCCUGGGCCUCUAUGGGGGUUAGGUAUUGGGAAAGGUCACAAAGGGUGGGGCCCAUGUAGCCCCCACAAGAACAGAACAGAACAGAACAAGCCCUGGCCUCUCAGCUACCCAUUGGCAUAGCUUCCAUUCCUUCCACUUGCAUACAGGGAGACUUGAAAACCAGUGGUGGCGAGACUCCAAGACUAUUAUUUUUAUUUCCGGACAAAAACAUCUGCUUCACACAGUGCACGGCAUCAAAUGAAGAGGAAAGAACUUGUAUCCCAAAGCCUGGCUU